rnacentral:snoRNA from 1 species
UGGCUUCUCUGUUUACAACACACCCAACAAGAAUCUAGGCUCAUUGGGACAAGUAGCACAGGACUUGUGACUUCCCUUUAAGUAAAUGUCCUACACAU